CCUACGGGAGGCAGCAGUGAGGAAUAUUGGUCAAUGGGCGUAAGCCUGAACCAGCCAAGCCGCGUGAGGGAUGAAGGUUCUAUGGAUCGUAAACCUCUUUUGUAAGGGAAUAAAGUGUGGGACGUGUCCUGUUAUGAAUGUACCUUAUGAAUAAGGAUCGGCUAACUCCGUGCCAGCAGCCGCGGUAAUACGGAGGAUCCGAGCGUUAUCCGGAUUUAUUGGGUUUAAAGGGUGCGUAGGCGGGCUUUUAAGUCAGCGGUGAAAGCCGGUGGCUCAACCAUAGAACUGCCGUUGAAACUGGGAGGCUUGAGUGUGAGAGAGGCAGGCGGAAUGCGGGGUGUAGCGGUGAAAUGCAUAGAUAUCACGCAGAACCCCGAUUGCGAAGGCAGCCUGCCGGGACAUGACUGACGCUGAUGCACGAAAGCGUGGGGAUCAAACAGGAUUAGAUACCCGAGUAGUC
rnacentral:rRNA from 1 species